AAAAUGGACAUUUUGAGAUUCUACUGGCAGUUUAUACACCUACAAAGAGAUAUCACCUACAAUAUCAGAAACCAGUCUAAUCCCAUUAAAAUUUAUAAAGCUGUUAUUAUACAGAGUUUUUUUUUAAUACAGACUGUUCUACUUAUUAAUAAUCUAAUAGGGUUUGGGAGAUUAAACCCAGUAUUAGAAAACUAGUCAGCCAAUUAAUAGCUGUUUAGGAAUUCAUUAAAGAAGUGCAUUGCUUACUAUUUAAGCAGAAUUUUAAAAUGUAUAAACAGAAUGUUUCUUCUGGUUGGAAUAUGAACACUGGCUUAUAAUUUCUUAUCUUGAGACUUCCCAUCUGGCUGGUCUUGGAAAUAUUUUUCUUUUUUUUCCCCCCUAGCAGUGCAACAACUAGCAAUUAGAGUUUCAGAAAUGCCAAUUUUAAUCACUACUUCCAUUUCCAAAAUAGAAAAACUUGCAUGAACUACACAGUAGAUAAACCCUCUUCAUUUUAUUCAGUUGAGUGUUUUUGAAAAGGUAAUUUCAGUAAAUCAAAGCCAGGGAUAAGAUAUUCCAGAAAUGUUAAGAAAAUAGUGCAGAUCCUUAUAAAUUAUGGUCAGUUUUACUCUUAAGCUGGGCACUAAUUUCACUGGCAUUGAUGUUUAUAUUAUCCAGGUAUCAACUUUAGUGCAGUUAGCUCACAUAGAGAAGGGCUUCUCAACUUCAGUACUAUUGACUUUUGGGUUGGCUAAUUAUUUGUAGUGGGGGGCUGACCUGUGCAUUGUAGGAUGUUUGUCAAUAUCCUUGGCCUUUACCCACUAGAUGACAGUAGCACUAACUCCCAUACCCCACCCUGUUGUGAUAACCGUAAAUACGUCCAUCUGUUCCCAAAUGUCCUCAGGAUAUGGGGCAAAAUCACCCCGGUUGAGAAUCAGUUAUAAAGGAUAAGAUCUUGGCAACUUCUUCCUUUAAAAGCAUUUAAAUAUUAAACAAAUAAAGAGUGUUGAAUUUGGAUGUCUAGAUCCAAAUUCUUAACUUUAGUAAGUUAAGUCUUUUUUUUGUUUGUUUUUUGAGUCAGGGUUUUGCUCUGUUGCCCAGGCUGGAAUGCAGUAGCAAGAUCACCACUCACUGCAAUCUGCCUCCUGGGAUCACCACCCACUGCCUCCUGGGAUCAAGGGAUCCUCCCACCACAGUCUCUAGAGUAGCUGGGACCACAGGCAUGCACCACCACUCCCAGCUAAUUUUUUUUUUUUUUUUUUUUGUAGAGACAGACUUUCACCAUGUUGCCCAAGCUGGUCCCACAUUCCUGGGCUCAAGGGAUCCACCUGCCUUGGCCUCUCGAAGUGCUGGUAUUACAGGCAUGAGCCACUAUGCCCAGGCAAUCCUUCAGGAAGAAGACCCUGGCGAAAAUUACCUUGCAUAUCAAGAGUUGGCGGAUGAACACGAAGCAAUCACCUUGGGAAAAGGAGUGAUGAAAGUAGAAAGCACUAAAGAGAUUCUUUAUAGUUCUUGAUGGGUAGCCUGAGUUGCUCUUGCCAUGUUUUUGUUUGUUUUUUUUCACUCCUCACCGUAUCUUUAAAUCCUAUUUUUAAAAAAAGUAAUGAAGAGGUAGCCAAGAUGUUCUUCAACAGAUGAAAGGAUAAAUAAAUGGUGGUACAUCCAGAUAAUGGAAUAUUAAUCAGUUAUAAAAAGGAAUGAGCUACUAAGCCAUGAAAAGACAUGGAGGAAACUUAAUCCAUGUUACUAAAUUAAAGAACCCAAUCUAAAAAGGCUGCAUACUGUGUAAUUCCAAGUAUAUGAUAUUCAGAAAAGGCAAAACUAUGGAGACAGUAAAAAGAUCAGUGGUUUCCAGGGCAGUGAAACUACUAAGUGUGAUACUAUAAUGGUGGAUACAUGUCAGUAAACAUUUGUCCAGAUUCAUAGACUGUACAACACCAAGAAUGAAUGCUGAUAUAAACUAUGGACUCUGGGUGAUACUGAUAUGUCAAUAUAGGCUCAUCAAUUGUAGCAAAAUGCCACUCUGGUGGGGAUGUUGAUGAUGCUAUGCACGUGUGGGGGCUGGAGAUAUAUGGUAAAUCUCUGUACCUUUCACUCAGUUUUUCUGUGAGCCUAAAACUGCUCUAAAAUAAACUCUAUUUUUAAAAAAGGUAAAGAAGACUAUAUAGAUGGUGUAGUAGUUGUUGUCUAUUGCACUUUCUUUGCCACUUCAUGUUGGGUGUCCCAAGUUAAUUUUGGAUAGUUACUGUAAAUAAAAUAUAAAAGUCUAGAGAAGGACAGGUAUCUAAGUCUAUCAUCUGUGCUAACGGGGAGGCCUGAGAGGUGUGGUGCCUGCUUUUCCUCCCUUGUUUCCUAACACAUUAGUGACUGGCAAUUUUGGACCUAGAAGAUGGUUUGUUUCCUGGACCUUUCAGCACCCCUCACUAGGAAACACACCUUUCUAAUCACUGAAGUAGUGCUCCAUAAAAAGGAACUUUCUGAAACAUAGGAGAGACACGGCGAUCUGAUGGCCGACAUGCUGAAGUGGGUUCCAGGGUAUUUUCAUAAAUCCCUUAGCAGUUCCCCACACUAGGCUUCCAUUCAGGCUAUGGGAUUUCAGUUUUUCAUGCUGGGUUUUUUUCUCAUUGACUUUUCUUAUGUAAUUACUGUAUCAUGGCCCUCAGGCCAUGACCAAACUCUAAGAAUAGUUUGUGUUUAUUUUUUUUUCCCAUCGAAUGUCACUUGCUUCUUCAUUUCUUAAUUUCUUCCUAAAGCGAAGGAGCCAAAAUACACCACAGAUCACAGAUGGACUAGACAACAAGCAUCUGCAUUGCAGGGGCCCAUGCAGAACCUGAUUUAUUUAUGUAAACAUUUUGCCACUUACUAUAUGAAGUUGUAGACUCCUCGACUAGUUACUGAUCUUAUACUUUCUAGUAGUUAACAUAGCCCAUUUUCAAAAAGUCCAACUGAACAUAAAAGUAAAAUGAUUUUUUUUUUUUGAGACAGAGUCCCACGCAGUCACCCAGGCUGGAGUGCAGUGGUGUGAUCUCAGCUCACUGCAAACUCUGCCUCCUGGGCUUGGGCCAUUCUCCUGCCUCAGCCUCUCGAGUAGCUGGGACUCUGGGCAUACGCCACCACAACUGGCUAAUUUUUGUAUGUUUUGUAGAGACGGGUUUUGCCAUGUUGCCCAGGCUGGUCUCAAAACUCCUGAGCUCAAGCAAUCCGUCCACCUUGGCCUC
rnacentral:lncRNA from 1 species